UACGGAGGGUGCGAGCGUUGUCCGGAAUCACUGGGCGUAAAGGGCGCGUAGGUGGCCUGUGGAAGUCUGCGGUGAAAGCCCGGCGCUCAACGCCGGGUCGGCCGUGGAUACUCUCGGGCUCGAGCUUACUAGAGGCAGAUGGAAUUCCGGGUGUAGCGGUGGAAUGCGUAGAGAUCCGGAAGAACACCGGUGGCGAAGGCGGUCUGCUGGGUGAGCUGACGCUGAUGCGCGACAGCGU
rnacentral:rRNA from 1 species